rnacentral:rRNA from 1 species
AUUGAACGCUGGCGGCAGGCCUAACACAUGCAAGUCGAGCGGAUGAAGGGAGCUUGCUCCUGGAUUCAGCGGCGGACGGGUGAGUAAUGCCUAGGAAUCUGCCUGGUAGUGGGGGAUAACGUCCGGAAACGGGCGCUAAUACCGCAUACGUCCUGAGGGAGAAAGUGGGGGAUCUUCGGACCUCACGCUAUCAGAUGAGCCUAGGUCGGAUUAGCUAGUUGGUGGGGUAAAGGCCUACCAAGGCGACGAUCCGUAACUGGUCUGAGAGGAUGAUCAGUCUCACUGGAACUUAGACACGGUCCAGACUCCUACGGGAGGCAGCAGUGGGGAAUAUUGGACAAUGGGCGAAAGCCUGAUCCAGCCAUGCCGCGUGUGUGAAGAAGGUCUUCGGAUUGUAAAGCACUUUAAGUUGGGAGGAAGGGCAGUAAGUUAAUACCUUGCUGUUUUGACGUUACCAACAGAAUAAGCACCGGCUAACUUCGUG